ensembl:lncRNA
UGGGAACAGCUGCAGGCACAGUGAAGGACAAGGUUAGAAUCUGAAACAAUUUUGACAAAUUGGAAGAGUAGACUGGGAAAAUGAAUAUGAUUCAGUAAAGAUAAACAUGAAGUUUUACACUAGAUAGGAAUAAUCAUCUGCACAGAGAAUGAAGAGCAUCUGGCUAACAAUCUGGAAGGUGUAGGAAUCAUGGAGUGAACACAUCUGAAAUCUUGAUAUCAUUCUGCCCCAGAUGACCAGAGGCCCACUCCUGUUCUGAUUUAAGUAUGUGGCAGCGGUCAUAUUGACUUCAGUGGUGCGAGAUCAAAUCUCCUAUGGUUCCCAAGAACCAGAGUUACACUUUGAUCCAUUUCUUACUAAUAAUACACAACUACUCCCACUGCAACAAAACUAAAGACAGCUGAACAGAAAUGAUGGAAAAUGAAUCAGCCAACAGAAGGAAAAACAGCUUACAAUCAGAUAUUUUACAGACAGAUAUUUUUUGCACAAUGUCUUGUGAAGAAAGUGGCAGACUUGUGCAUUUCAUCUCGUUUCCAGAGUGAAAUCCAAAGAUCGAGGAACACUCUUCUGGACUUCAGAAAUGAAGUAGUGCUGCCUCGUAGUGCUCUAUAAGAAGCGACUUCCAUCUUUUCCUUUCCAGACAAGCCUUUCUGACUGUUCAUUCACCCAGCUUUCCUUAAGAGCUUGCUCUCAUUGGAAUAUAAGAUCCUCCACAUUUCAGAAGCUGUUGUUAAAAUAUCCUUUCAUUCAAAAUAGGAGGAUUUUGUCAAUGUCAUAUUGUAUUUUACUUCAACAAAACAGAAAAUGAGCUUUAAUUUUUAUUGGUAUUGCCUAAAUAGAAUCUUUUCUUUGAAGUAAUUACCGAAAUUGUUUUUCUAUCAAAAGUUUGAUAGAAUUAGCUUUUAACUGAAGAGCAGAUAUAAUAGUUUCUAUACAGAUAAUAAAUUAUGAGCAGAUCUUUCAAUAAAUCUUUAAAGAGAUGUUACAAAUCCCAUCAGGCUGUUAGGUUACUUGUCAUUCUAGUAUUUAACCUUGAUGUGUUGGACUUGUAGCUGUCUAUAGCAAGUAAUGUUCAUGCUUAUAACUAUUAUAACUAUUAAUUAUUAACCCUUCCAUAUGACCAUGCAGCUGUUAGAAAGUGCUAUGGGAUUUUUUUUACUCUCUACUUGUUGAGUUCCUGCACUACUUGGAGUGUGCUGAGCCUCAGAUGUUGCUUCCUGACCCCAAGGACCAUUACCACCUGCAGAAAUCUCAGGAUUUUUGUCACAGAGCCUUUCCCCUAAGUGAGAGGUUUUUGUAUGAUGAUUGGGAUAGAUGAGGCACAAGGAACAAAAAUAAUUCACUGUGUUUUUUUUUUGUUUGUUUGUUUGUUUUUUCCUAGGGCUAUAAUGAUAGUCUAUUGACAUUUCUAAAAUUUUCCUCCACUGUAACAUUCUUUCCUGCUUGCUCCCUGUCACUUGAUUCAGCGAGGCUAAAAAUAAAAAGAAAGUUACAAAGGGAAUGACAAACUCUUCUUGUUCAAUAUUUGCGAAAAUGUCAGUCUUUAAAGUUUAUUGAUUAAAGGAAUGGUAACCUCUCCAGCUCCACAACACUGGUGCAACCACUGAAAGUCUUCCUGGAAUAAGAGCUUUCACCCAAACUUCUCCUCGUGCUUUACCAGAUCAAGACUGUCAGACAGAGCAUUUUAAAGAGAAUGAGCAUGAAUGAAUCCUUCAAACAAGAAAAAUCAAGACAAGAAACAAAUCUGAAAGUAAACCUCCUCCCCACCUUGGGCUGAUCCUAUAGGCUCUGUUGUACUUUCUCC